CUCAUGUGUGCUAGUCAUGUUGAUAUCUCGGCAUCAAGACCAACGGUCUUCAUAAGUGUUUCUUUUUAUGAUACGAAGGAGACAGAACAAGAAGAGUUGAUGUGGUUGGAUGAUGAGCUCAGGACUUUGAUAAGAAAAGGUCAGGACUUCGUGGCUUAGGUAUGGGUUCAGGUGAAGAGUUUUAACCGCUGUAUUGAGGGCUCUGGAGCUGUAGAGGUGGUGGCCCUCAUGACCUUGUCUGAAUAUAGUAGCUUCCUAUCUUCUGAAGAGGCUGGAAUAAGACAGGACCUUACGGGGAAGUGUCUGUCCUUCCUGGGAUCUGCCAGCACGUCUAUCUGGCCCUUAAUUGGGGUCAAAGGUCAAUGCAACCCGACUACAGGAGGAAGGACUGGAAGCAAGCAGGUCAGGCUGUGGCUAACACACUCCGGCUGGAACUGAUCUUCACAGCAAACAUCUUUGGAUCCAGAUGGCUCACAAAGCAGCGUGUGAUUAAGUGAACUGAGGCAAGGGACCCAUCAGUAGCCUGGUGUUGUUAGUAUGGAUGUUAAUAUGGAUGGCUCCCGCGAUCGGGAUUCACCGGAUGGAAACAACUCGAGCCAACUCAAGUUCUUCUCUGGACUCCAAACGGCUGAGAAACACUCAAAGGUCUGAGUCCUGACUCCUUACUACUUUGAACUGUGUGAACCAUUUACAGUAGGAACAUGCGUACUUCAAUCUCGACAUGACAGCGGUCCAUACUUCAAUCUCACCGUGACAGCGGUCCUUCGUUCUCAAUCAGCAUCACUUGGCGGACCACAUUUCCUAACUAGUACUCACCACCUGGCUCCUCUGCCACUCGAAGGCGGUGUUCCCUUACCACACCGGGAGGCACCUGUGGCGCUGUGCCUGGGAAGGUCACGAGUUGGAUAACUGCAGAUAAAUCUCGGGAGCUGCGUGUUCUGGUUAGGCAGGAAGUUAGACGCAAAGGAACCAAGCGGACUGCAACCAUCUAUUGGUAGUGGUGUCUCCUGAUGUUCAGAAUACUCCUUUGUGGUAUAAAUUCUUCACGUGCACUUCGGUUCCUCCUACUACGUAAGGGUACCUUCCCAGCUGCAGGCAUGUGAACCAGUCAAAGGUCCUCACCUUCGAAAUGACCUAAGUAUGUUCUAAUACCAUUUGUACUAUGGUUUUGACCUUCCCUGCUCUUUACAGACUUUUCAAGAGGAUCAUGGGAAGACACACUUUAAAGGGGAGAGCCAGUUCAUUGAGAAAGGAAAAGGUUAAUUAUCUUACUACAUGAAUAUGCUACUCAUUCAUGAAUAUUCAUCAACACCUUAACAUCCACGUCACAGACCAGUUGUGUUACUCAUCGGGCUUCAGGAUAACCCACUCUAAUCUUUCUGGAGAAUAUGCUCCACUUUGCUUUUCUUUGCUACAUUAAAUUAACUUCUACUGCAACUCCCUUUAUCUCUCGACUGAAUUCUUUCCUCUGGGAAGAAGAGUCAAAGCAGAAACCUUGAGAGGUUAACAUGAACUUCAACCUUUCCUCACAGGUUUUGUGCUUUAUACAUGCUUGGCCCACCCUUGCUGUGGCACUAUUUGGAGGUGUGGCCUGGUUGGAGUAGGUGUGGCCUGGUUGGAGUAGGUGUGUCACUGUGGGCGAGGGCUUUAAGACCCUCAUCCUAGCUGCCUGGAAAACUCCCAGCUCCUUUUGCACCAUCCCUGCCUGGACGCUGCCAUGUUCCUGCCUUGAUGAUAAUGGACUGAACCUCUGAACCUGUAAGGCAGCCCCAAUUAAAUGUCGUCCUUAUAAUACCUGCCUUGGUCAUGGCAUCUGUUUACAGCAGUAAAACCCUAACUAAGACAGGGGUGGAGUGAGAAUUAAAUAAGCAUUAUAGGGGUUGGGAAUGGAGGACUGGGAAGAGAGAGGGGAACUGUGGUUGGGAUAUCACUCAGAUUUAAAAAAAAAAAAAUUUGCUGAGGCCCGUGAUUAUAUAAUUGACUAUCACUACCUGUUCUAAUCAAACUACCAAAGAGUCAGUCAGUCACUCUUGUGUGUUCAGUGUGGGGUUGCUACAGCUUCUGUUAUUUUGUUUUUGUUUUUGUUUUAAGACAGGGUCUGUCUAAGCGAAGCUCAUGCUGACCUCUAACCCAUGAUCUUCUUGCCUCGACUUCCCAAGUGCUGGGGUGUGUGCAGUGACUUUUUAAGUGAGAUGGAAAGCUAGAAUUUUUUAAAAAAAAUUCAAGGUCUUACAAUUUUUGAACAUCACAACCUAAUGGAAACUUUUGAAACUUCUGAGUAUGUGAGGUCUGAACUCAGCAUACCAUAGCCAGCUUUGUCCAAGGAACCGCAGAAAAAAAGAAGAGACCAGAGAAUGCAGCAGAGACACCAGCCAGCAGGGCUAAGCCACUCGGAGUAGCUCCCUGACCUCACAGCAGAAGCCAUUGAUGACAUCAUUUUAAGUUUAGCCUGAUCUGACUGGCUUGAGUCCGUUUGCUGUGUGGCUGGCUGGCUCUGUGUCUCUCACAACUUCUUGUGAACAGGAUUCAUUUGGGCUGACUACUUUAAACAAAACAGCAAAAAACAUUGACCAAUGAAAGCAAAUUAUAAGAUUUCCAUUUGCAGAAACCAAGGUCCUUAAAUUAUCCAACAGAGUUAUCACUCCGAAUUCUCUAAGUGCCCUGGCAAAUUUAAAUGAAUAUAUAUAUAUAUAUAUAUAUAUAUAUAUAUAUAUAUAUAUAUAUUUCUCUGAUAUAUAUAUUCCCAUAAAGAGUCUACCAGUGUCUGGGAGCUGUCAUAAUAUGCUGCAGUCUUGUAGACAAGGCUUGGUACUUAACAGACUUUAGCAGCUACUGAAGUUUGGAUGAGUUUGGGAGAUCAGCACUGAGUCCUUCCCAGCCCCACUGAUCUCAGGCUGGCCUGGGUCCCUGUCCUCUGAGUUGUCCUUAUGCUGGUCCCGCCACUGGGAAUGCAGUCCAGGCAAUGAAAAGAUGAUGAAAUAGAAGAAUCUGUUUUAAAGACUUAUUUAUUUUAUGUAUGUGAGUACACUGUAGCUGUCUUUAGACACACCAGAGGAGGGCAUCAGAUCCCAUUACAGAUGGUUGUGAGCCACCAUGUGGUUGCUGGGAUUUGAACUCAGGACCUCUGGAAGAGCAGUCAGUGCUCUUAACCGCUGAGCCAUCUCUCCAGCCCGUAGUAGAGUAAUCUGAACUGCCCCACAAUCUCAUGCUUUACAUGGCUUGUUCUCUGCAGUCGGUGCCGUGGGGAAGGCUGUGGAACUUCAGGAGGUUUGGUCCAGCUGAAAGAAGUAGGUCCUUGGGGGUGUGUUAUCUCUGCCCAGUUCCUGUCUCAGGUCUCUAGGGUGUUUUGUUUGCUUGUUCGUUUUGAGCUUUUUAUUGGUUCUUUGUGAAUUUUAUAUCAUGUACCCUAAUCUCACUUACCUCCCUCCCAUCGUACCCACCCCCCACACAUGCAACCUCCCUCACAACAGAGUGAAAAACCCUUUUUGUGGAAGCUGCUGUGUGUCACAGUGUGCCCCACACUAUGCCCUUUUGUCCACACUUCUUGGCUUGCACAUGUUCACUGCAACGAGUCGUUGAUCUGGUGACAGAGGCCUCUGGCUUCCGCUACUCUAUCAAUACUGGAACCUCACUGAAAUUAGUCUUUUGUCACACACACACACAUACACACACACACACACACACACACGCACGCACGCACGCACGCACGCACGCACGCACGCACGCACCAGGAACCUGAGAUGCUCUUGUCAGAAAGGAGGAGUCAAAGUCCAGAAGACAGAAAGCUUGAGAGGAAGUGGGAGGAGCUAAGCCUCCUUGCUCCUCACCAGCCCCCACUCCCAGUAGCUGUUCCUGACCUGCUUGGGAACAGGCUUUGCCCCAGCCACGUGGAUGCUAGGGUUACUCAUUCUGUGAACAACCAAGACAAGAGGGCCUUGCACUAGUCUUUCCCUCCAUCCUGCCCUGCUCUAGUCUACAUUUGUGUUCCUCCCUUGACCUCUUCCCCGCUAUCCCCGUGCACUGUCUUGCCCACCCUGAGGCUCACACUGCCACUUUUAGGAGAGAGAUGCCCCUGUAAGCAGGUUCCAUUUGCUGUCUGGCCUUCAGGGUGUGACUUAAUCAGGAACAGGUCAAGCCUGAGCUAAGCUGUCGAGGAGACGCCCACG